AGGUUGUAGAAACGCUUGAAGAAGAAAUAAAGAAAUUAAAAGAAGAGAACAACCGCACAAGAACAAACUUGGAAAAGAAGCUUGCUCAGACAACGGCAAAAUACGAAGAAGAGAAAGCGUCGGCGAAAAAGCAUCAUUCUUCAAUUGCCAAGUCUUUGCAGCAAGACGUAGAAACACAAAAAACAAUGGUUCGACAUUUAGAGAAACGAAUUCAACAAGUGGAG